CUCAGCUCCAAAGCAGGCUGGCCUCUGGUGCCCGGCACACAGCUGAGUCCUGACAAGCUCAGGCUGGAGGUCGCUUCCUUCCUUGGCUCAAGGAUCAGGGCAUCAGCUCGUGGCUCAGAUAGGGACUUGCCCAGUGCUGUCACUCCUUGGCCUGGACAUGCGCUUCUUGACUAUGGCUCAAAAGAACAUGGAAGAACAGAAAAAUACAAGAGUUUGUGUACUCAGACCAAAUCAGCACACCACCAGAUUUCCUGGGUCCUCUCAGCCAGCGACACCCUCAAGGUCCUGAUGACCCUCAGCAGCAGUCACACCUAACGGGAGACAAAGUCAUUCUUGCUCAGGGUACCAGUCCCUCAAACAACCUGGUCCUGCUCUAUGGCUGAGGAAAAGGACAUGAGCAGGAUGAACUGCUGAGACAGGACAACCUCAAGGCAACUGAGGCCCCAAGAAACACCCUCUGGGCUAACAUGGGGUCCAGGUCGGUGCCACUUCUGCUGUAGUCACAAGCGCAAAGCGUCAAGGUCUGCAUGCCAUCAUUGUACUUCAGAUCAUGGAGCAAAUGCUGAAACAGUGAGGACUAGGUCUCUGGACAAGGCUGCUGAAGAGCUGAGAGCUUCUUUGUGAUCUGUCGCUUUGCUUGGCACACAGUAGCUGCUCGAGUUUCAGAGCCAUUUGUGGGGAAAGGAGGCAGCACCCUAGGAAACAUCCCUUCCUAAAAUGUGCACACACGUGCUAAAAGCAGCCGCUGAUGGGCUGGGGAAGAGAGGCCUGGCUCUCUGGGGCUUCAUCCUUUCAUCCUGCUUCUGAGGCUGCUCGAACUCUUGUAACAUCUCAGAGCUGCUCCAUCAGACCCUGUAACACGGACACCUUGGUGUCUUAGAAGGAGAUAAGGACAGAAUCUGUGGGAAGCCUCCACUGUAGCCUGAAAGUUCCAUGGUGAAGAUGGGGUUCCCAGCAGCCAGCCCAGGGGAGUGACAGUCACAGGCCUCCCAGAGACCUGGCCCAGGAGUUUCCUCAAUACGCUUCUUGGAGGCUUUAUGAAGCAGAAGCGUGGCUAGGGCUCUGGGAGGCAGGAAGACCUGAUUUGAGUCUCAGCUCCCCACAGUGAGCAAGAUGUAUAAUUCACUCAGCCUCCACCUCUGCACCUGCAAAAUGGGGACAAUGACAGAACCUCUUCCUUAAGGACAUUAGGAAGACUCAAGGUAAUGCCUCCACAGCACACUGCUCAGCACUCCCCACCCCACCUUACGGAUGAGGCUGCCCCAGCUCUGGAGCACCCCCGGAGGUCAGCCACAGUCUUUGCUGCAACACCAUCACAGUGGAGCAUCUCCCUUUGCACCAUCCUGUGUGCCUUGCGAGUAUUCAUUCCAAAGUACUGCCAGAUAAACUUGCUGCAUGCAAACCUCCGUCUCCGAGUCAGCUUCCUAGGAACCUGAGACUUGAGGCGAGAUCCCUUAGGGAGCAAAUGAAGUGAGAACAGCCUUGACAAACAAUUCUGGAGGAACAGUAGGGACAAAAACCUCACUGGAGUGGAUUCAAGAAAGAAUGAAAGGAGAGAAACAGCACAGCAAGGAUAGGCAACUCUUUCCAGGAGUUUUGCUGUUUUACUAGGAGCACAGAGAUGCAGAAACAGCAUGCCAUUUUCCCAGGGCUACUGCACGUGCUGAAAUCGGGCCCUAGAUAUGGACACCUGUCCUGUCUGCCUCAGUCUCAACUGCACACAGAUGUUUCUUAUGCUUCAUCCAAAUUGUCCAGUUGUUCUCAGCAGAAGAACUGCUCUGAUACAAGCUAGUUCAUUCUAGCUGGGAGCAGAAGUGCAAGGCCUCGGCCUUGGGUGAUGUCCAGAGUUGAGUGUCGGGAUCUCUGAAGACACAGGAGGCAGCUCCCUCUUGGCUGGGCCUACCUCUGCAGGACAAAAGCCUCCAGCCCUUGGGUAAAGGCAGAUGCCUGGCCUCCCCCGACUCCAACUCUCCUCAGUCACACCUGCCUGCCUACAGCUCCAGCACCACAGAAGAUACCCAGUAAAGCCACUAGCAACCUUCCCACUAGGCCCCCAGAUCUGGCUUAUUAAAUUGUCUUCUGUCACAAGGACCACUUACUUACAACAGCUGUUGCUGUGGCAACCAGGCAGCCAGCCUUCCGCUCCAGCUAACAGCCAUGAAGCUCCUGCUGACUACUUGGCUUGGGCAACUGCAGGGGAAGUUGCCCCCAAAGUGUCUGUGAGGAUGGAACAUGGUGGAGGACGUGGGAAGUGGCGACAGGGAACGGGAGGCUGAUUGUGAAGUGCAGAGAUUUGGAAUUGUUCUAUCAUUCCCUACCAACAGGUUGGAAGAGCUAUGAGAUGACUCCCGCCAGAGGGGUUCCCACACCUUCUUGUGAUAUAGGCCACUUCUCCAGCAACACCUCCUUACCCACUCCACUCCCUAUCUACAAGCUGAAGGAGGGAGGGCCCUCCAGGGGCAGAGAGAGGGCCACACACAGCUAGAACAGAAUCCUGCCAAUGCAGGUGAAGGGCGCUGGGCACUCACCAGCCCUGAGAAAGAGGGGGGCAUCAGGAACUGGCAUUGGCAGGCCCCAACGUUGCUGUUGAGAGGCUGUAACUCCUCUGCCCUCCUGACUCUUCCUGAGAGAGGGGCUGCUUUCUUUAACCAGUCCUGAAUGUCUCUAGUCUGAACUUGUAGCUGAGUGACUAGAGAUUUUGAAGUUGCAUAGAUGAGUGUUCAAACCUUAGUUUUUUCAGUUGCUACCUGUUUAACAUGAGGCAAAUUACUUAACCUCUCUGAGCCUCAGUUUUUGUAGCUGUAAAAUAGGGGUGAGUACAGUACCGACCAACAAACUGUUUCAAGGAUUAAUUGAGAUCGAGCACAUAAAGUAUGUAAGACACAAUGCUGGCACAUAACAAGCUCUCAGUAAGUCGGUAGUAUUAUAGUUAUUAUUGCUAUUGUUAUCAUCACCGACGAUUAUGUCACUAGAAGACCUAGAGGCUGAACACAUAAUUGAGAGACUUAGAAGAACUGAGAAUGAUAAAAGAAACCUCAGCAUGUGAUCUACAA
rnacentral:lncRNA from 1 species